rnacentral:tRNA from 1 species
GGGGCCGUAGUCUAGCCUGGCUAGGAUGCGGGGCUUGGGCCCCCGUGACCCGGGGUUCAAAUCCCCGCGGCCCCACUA